rnacentral:snoRNA from 1 species
CUCCAAGGUGAUUCCCUCUCCAUGGGGCCAACUAGUGCCCCCUUCAGGAAAGUAGCAGCUUGGAAGAAAACCUGGCAUGCCUAAGGUUGGAAGACAAAGAAUACUUGGAAUUCUUUUGCCUUCCUUUGGCUGCCUACAUGC